AGGGGACUUCAAAAAAUUCAGAGAAAAAUAAAAUUAAACAAGAAUGGAGUUUUUCCUGCAAACUUUUAAAAGCGCUUUUGUCUUCUAGACAUUGGACUGUCAUCCGGAAGGUCAGCAGUUGGGAGCCGCUCUCUAACUGAAGGAACAGCUGACUUCCCCAGACCUUGGCCGCCCCAGCAUGGGCUCGGCUUUGCUCCAGCAAUGUCACAGAGCUCCUUUAGUGCCUGUCAAUGUACAAGGGCACUUCACCCUGCAAGCCAGCCUACUCCUCUGGGGUGAGCCGGGAAGUCCGCUUCCCUGUAUCAUGGUCUGGGUGCUGCUGCCUCCAGUACCUCGGCUGUCACCCACGCCUCCAGAAAGCAAGCUCACACCCAUGGCUUUUUCUUCUUGGUCCAAAGACUUUCUGGUUUGAUUAAAACCCAGUGGAAUGGCAAGACUGGCCAAUCCCCUGUCA